rnacentral:rRNA from 1 species
GACAGAGGGUGCAAACGUUGUUCGGAAUUACUGGGCGUAAAGCGCGUGUAGGCGGCUAAGUAAGUCGGGCGUGAAAUCCCACGGCUCAACCGUGGAAGUGCACUCGAAACUGCAUAGCUAGAGUCCUGGAGAGGAAGGUGGAAUGCUUGGUGUAGAGGUGAAAUUCGUAGAUAUCAAGCGGAACACCGGUGGCGAAGGCGGCCCUUACUGGACAGUGACUGACGCUGAGACGGCGAAAGCG